UCCGAAAUAGCUCAGUUGGGAGAGCGUUAGACUGAAGAUCUAAAGGCCCCCGGUUCAAUCCCGUGUUUCGGCA
rnacentral:tRNA from 1 species